UGGGGAAUUUUGGACAAUGGGCGAAAGCCUGAUCCAGCAAUGCCGCGUGUGUGAAGAAGGCCUUCGGGUUGUAAAGCACUUUUGUCCGGAAAGAAAUGGCUCUGGUUAAUACCUGGGGUCGAUGACGGUACCGGAAGAAUAAGGACCGGCUAACUACGUGCCAGCAGCCGCGGUAAUACGUAGGGUCCGAGCGUUAAUCGGAAUUACUGGGCGUAAAGCGUGCGCAGGCGGUUGUGCAAGACCGAUGUGAAAUCCGCGAGCUUAACUUGGGGAUUGCAUUGGUGACUGCACGGCUAGAGUGUGUCAGAGGGGGGUAGAAUUCCACGUGUAGCAGUGAAAUGCGUAGAGAUGUGGAGGAAUUCCGAUGGCGAAGGCAGCCCCCUGGGAUAACACUGACGCUCAUGCACGAAAGCGUGGGGAGCAAACAGG
rnacentral:rRNA from 1 species